GGGAAUCUUGGACAAUGGGCGAAAGCCUGAUCCAGCGACGCCGCGUGGGUGAUGAAGGCCUUAGGGUUGUAAAGCCCUUUUGUCCGGAAAGAAAAGUCUUCGGUUAAUACCCGGGGAUCCUGACGGUACCGGAAGAAUAAGCACCGGCUAACUCCGUGCCAGCAGCCGCGGUAAUACGAAGGGUGCAAGCGUUACUCGGAAUUACUGGGCGUAAAGCGUGCGUAGGUGGUUCGUUAAGUCCGAUGUGAAAGCACUGGGCUCAACCUGGGAAUGGCAUUGGAUACUGGCGGGCUAGAGUGCGGUAGAGGGCAGUGGAAUUCCCGGUGUAGCAGUGAAAUGCGUAGAGAUCGGGAGGAACAUCUGUGGCGAAGGCGACUGCCUGGACCAGCACUGACACUGAGGCACGAAAGCGUGGGGAGCAAA
rnacentral:rRNA from 1 species